rnacentral:lncRNA from 1 species
GGGCCUUCGUCCUCCGAAGGUCCUCAAAAACAUGAUUUGACAAUGUUUUCCAAGUGAAUUAUAUGAACAGGUAUUUUCGGAUUCAGAAUUAUGGAUAUGGAGCACGACCAGGACGAAGGCUGAGCCAGACGAAGGUCGGGGGCAGCCGAAGCUGUACGCAGGGAAGCUUCGGCGCGAUGGCACAAGGGGGAACCGACCUUAAGAUGAAAAGACUUCGGGGUCCUCAAUAGAUUUCCAUAAACCGUUAACAAAUGUAAUGGACAUGGAUGUAAUUUUACGUGGGCUGCGUCCCGCGUCUAUAAAUAGAUGAACAGUACUCCCGUACUGUUCACGCUGACCUUACAUUUGCUUUUGCGUCACGCCUGUACUUUUUACCUUCUCUCAGGACCGAAGGUACAUUUGUAAUUUAAAAUCAUUUCUAUUUUCCCAUAUUAAUAAAAUAGAAAUGAUCCCAUGAUGAUGCUUAUAUUAUACUUCAUGCUUUAUAUGAGUCUUUCGUUAUUACCUAUUAUAUUUACGAAGGUAUGUCUCUUAUGACCUUCGUCCGAAACUCAUUAUUUCCCGAAGGGAUAUAAUGCUUCGAAGGACGAAGGACUUUAACAUUUAACACUUUUCAUGUUGCCUUGUUCUUAACUCUUAGCAUUUGAGAACAAGUCACCAACAUUGGCGCCCACCUCCGGUGAACUCACUUCCACUUCUUGAGUUUUUCGGCACCUUCGGCAAGCAUCAGCUUCGUCAUGCCGCCGAAGAAGGCUCCAGCACCAGGGGCUGGCACGCUGCAGCCGCUGGACCCCAAUCAAGAUGUCCUUUCUCUCAGAGAGGCACGAAGCCAGAAGAGGAAGGCUACCAGCCCAACACAUCCGGAGGAUGAUCUAGAUCAGGAAAUUCAGAAUCUGGAAAUCCUUCAGCAACAGGUUCAACGCAGGAAGGAGAAGAUGGCCAGGCUAGCUGAACUGCAGAGGCAGAUAGAUGAAGCCUCUGAAGAAGUUCGUCAUCUUGCUCAGGAUGAGCAACUCCGAAGGCCUCAGCAUCAAGACCUUCAUCAGGAGGGCUUUCACAACGAAGAUGACUGGUAUGACAAUUUCCGUCAUGGGAAUUUUGUUUUUGAUGAUGCUUCUCCCUUGUCCGCUGAGUUGCAGGCUACGCCUUGGCCUCCGUCCUACAAACCGCCUCAGCUCCCCGUGUUUGAUGGCCAUUCUGAUCCGAAGCAGUUUUUGAUGAGCUACGAAGCAACAGUGUCUUCGUACGGUGGCAAUGCUUCAGUCAUGGCCAAAUCUUUCGUUAUGGCUGUCAGAAGUGUUGCUCAAACCUGGUAUUCCUCCCUUCGACCAGGAACGAUCACUUCAUGGCAGAAGCUGAAGGACUUGUUGUUAACCAGCUUUCAAGGAUUUCAGACGAAGCCGGUCACUGCUCAGGCUCUGUUCCAGUGCACUCAGGACCCCGAAGAAUACCUUCAGGCAUAUGUCCGAAGGUUUUUGCGUUUGAGGGCACAGGCACCAACGGUGCCCAAUGAAAUUGUCAUUGAGGCCAUGAUCAAGGGGCUUCGGCCAGGUCCGUCAGCUCAGUACUUCGCCAGGAAGCCUCCUCAAACGCUGGAGAAGCUGCUCCAGAAGAUGGAUGAAUAUAUUCGAGCUGACAAUGAUUUUCGCCAAAGAAGGGAGGAGGCCUUCAGAUUUUCUGAGAUGACCAGGGGCUUCGGAGGAAGAUUCUAUCCGAGGCAUGUCAGAUCAAUUCAUAAUUCCAAUCAAAAUGAUGAUAAAGGGAGCCAGCAGCAAAGGCCACAGUACUCCUCACAGGCUUCGGGGCAACAGCAAAGCUCCUUUCGACCACCAGCUCCAAGAGGCAGAGGCGCCAGGGGCUUCGGAGGAAGAUUUGGCGAUCAACCAAGAAGAAUCUUUUGCUUAUUCUGUGGUGAGAACAAAGGCCAUACUACCAGGAUGUGCCAUGUUACUAUACAGAAGCAAAAGGAAAUAGCUGAAGCAGCAGCACAACAAGCCCAGCCGAAGCAGGUCAUGCAUACAGCUUCGUAUCAUUCGCCCUACAUCCCAGAAUAUGUGGGCAAUCAUCCUGUAGUCUCUACUGCUUCGGCAAGUCAGCCUUCAGCUUCCUGGCAACAGCCUCCGCCUCCACCUCCGUUGCAACAAGGUCAGCAGCCAGAAGGGAGCCAAUAUGCUCCACAUCAAAGGGACUUCAGAGAACAGUCCGAAGCUCGCACGGUCAACAGCACCGUGCCAGAAUCAAAGCACAUCUAUUGACAAAUAUCCUACCUUAAUAGCAAUCUUUUUCAUUCAGUUUUAUUCUCUGUAAUAAAGGACAUUGUUUUCAUGUAAUUAGUUUCGUGGAUUCCUACAAGAAAAAUAUGUUUUCUUCACAGGUUUGCGACAAUAAAAGGGACCUUCGAACUAUCGAAAAUCCUUUGAAGCAACGAAAAGUCGUUCUAAGAAACGCAGAGUAAGUCUGACGAAGUCAUAAAAAGUCGUUCCGAAGGGAGCGCAGCGUAAGUUUUCUGCUCCAAAGUCGUUCCAAAAGGAAUGCAGAGCAUACAGCGAAAAGUCAACGCUGAUACCGCCUAAGUAAAAGGCGAAGAAGCUCCAAAGACGUUCCUAAGGGAAUGCAGAGCUUAUACCGCCUAAGUAAAAGGCGAAGAAGCUCCAAAGACGUUCCUAAGGGAAUGCAGAGCUUAUACCGCCUAAGUAAAAGGCGAAGAAGCUCCAAAGACGUUCCUAAGGGAAUGCAGAGCUUAUACCGCCUAAGUAAGAGGCGAAGAAGCUCCAAAGACGUUCCUAAGGGAAUGCAGAGCUUACAGCGAAGAAUCAGUGCUGAUACAAAAAUAUUGUGUGGGAUAUGUGUGUAUCUUUCGGAACAAAUGUCAUCUACGUAGCAUAACAUCAUUACAUCAUUUUGCAUAGCAUAAGCAUCAUACAUCAUGUUGCAUUUGGCCCAAGAAGGGGACACGAUAUUGAUCUUCGGAAGUAUGAUUUGAAAGAGUGAAAAUUGUGGUCCCAAGAAGGGGACACAAUAUUGAUUUUCGAAAGUAUGAUUUGAAAGAGUGAAAAUCAUGGUCGUAAAGAGAAUCAAUCUUCAUCUUCGGAAGUAUAGCUUCGGAGAAUUUUUUCACGAAGUUUGGAUAUUCUUCACGAAGCAUGAAAAGAAGGGAAGGUGUUUUUUUUUCGCCAAACUCAAAAACGGUACGUGUGUAAAGUUUCAUGCAUCGUAAAGAAUUGAGUAGCAAAAAUAGAUAUAUUACAUUCGGGGUUACAAAAAUGUUACAUUAUAUUACAUUUCCGAAGUUUUUUACAAAAAUGUUUAAUCCUCUCUUAAAACGACUCCUGCAGCUUCAUUCAGAAGCCGAUUGACGACUUCGUCCAUAAUAUCUUCGGCCAUCUUUUUAAUUUCGUCGUCCCCCUUCGGCUGAGGGCCCGAAGGCGCUUUAGUCGGAUCUGAAGCAGGACACGACUACAUUACUAUUACAAAUCGCAAACAGAUCUUAAAAGCCUAAAGAUUACAACACGGUAGAAGCUAUUAUUUAGUACCUAAUUGACCUUCGGGCUCUGUGCUCUUUUCAGCAGCCUUAGCCACUUCUCUAGCAUCAUGGAUGCCCUUUUCACUUCUCUGAAUAAUUUCUCUUGCCAUUUCUCGGCCACCGUUGACCCAGAUGUCGGUGAAAAAUUUUCCCCCAACCGCGCUAGCUUCGGCUGAAGGAUCUUUUAUAUCUUCAGUCGACAAGGUGGCUUCGGACUGUGCUAAAAUUUUCACAUGUUCACAGCCCUUCUUCUCUAAAAUAGUGGCAAUCCCUCUGGCGCCAGAGAAGGCACAUAUAUCUCCUCGGCUAUUUAAAAUUUCUUCGAAGGCUUCAGCUUCGUGGUCAAUCCAUUCAAUGACACUUUCGGGAUUGCCCCUCAGAAAAUUUUCUUCACUUGAGAAUGCGCCGACCUUGGCGAAGCUAGCCUUCAAUUUUUUAACACAGUCUAUAGAUUUAUUGUAGCAUCUCUUUUUGGAUGAACGAAGCUCUUCAACAGUCACUUCUAGGUGAUCUGCCCAUUGAUCGCUGAGUUCACGCUUUGUUUCUUCAAGUAUACGUUCCUCUGUGGCUCUGGCCAGUUGUUUCCGAAGGUCUUCAAUUUCGCGUUUCUGAGCUUCAGCCUGACUUUUGAAAGCAGCUUCGUCCUCCUUUAUUUUAUCUAUCAAUGAGUAUAAUAUUUUGUCUUUUUCGAGACCUUCGUUCCUCAGUUCAAUUACUUCGGAACGAAGGUUGCUCAGGGCUAUAGUACACCCUUCGUCUUCAGUAUCUUUCUGGGCUCUGAGAGCAUUGCUAAGAAUCAAGCCCUGCAAAAAGGAAUAUGUGUGUGUGUCAGAGGGUUUAAAUGAACGGAAAAAUACAAGGAUUUCAUUUAUCAAACCUUUAAACUGUUAUAAGCUAGGCUGUCAGCCAGAUCGUUUUUUGAUAGCACCGAAAGUCCGUCUUCUAAAGUUGGGAAUCCGAAGCUUCUGCUUAUCUCCCGACAGACAGAAAUUUCCUUGUUGUCGGGAAGACAGUACAAGAAGUCUUCUUCUCCACUGCCAUUAAAUAUUAAUGCUCCCUUCGGAUAUUUCAGUUUUUGGGCAUAAUGCUGGGCCUCUUGUUCUUCUUUUUCUGAUAAUUUUUUCCCCGAAGCAUGACGAAAAAUAUAAUCACGAGUUUUGGGGGAUGCUUCGGGGGCAACAACACUAGAUUCUUCAAUAGUUGGCUUUGUUAUUUUCUCUGUCUCACUUUCCAAAGUUUUUGCGGGCUCUGAGGGUCCAGCUUCGGCUGAAAUCUCUUGCUCUGGAGCUGUAGAACCAGAGAUUUCAGCUGUUGUUUCAGGAGUAACAGCAGCUUUCUUCGGAGGUGUGCUCGAAGAUUUGAUCGUUUCCAAUACGUCUAGCACAUUAGCCAUCCUUUUUCUCUUCGGAGUUGCAGCUGGCACUUUUUCAUUUUUUGCUGUCCCAAUGAUUGCUGUAGGACUCAAAACUUCUGAUGCUUUGGAGCCCUCAGUUGCUUCUCUUACCUCCUCAAUUUUUUCCGUGAGCGGCGCUUCGGUUUUCUCUUUUGUUUCUGGCAACAAAAUGUUUGACUGUUCUGAUUCCAUCUUUGGUGGCAUUUCGGCCGUUUCUGCGAUCUCUGGCAACAAGGCUGGCUCAAUUAGUUUUUCAGCUUCGGUGGCUGAAGAAGUUUUCCCGGUAAACUCCGGCACCGAAGCUGGUUCAAUAUAACGCGGCCGGUGCGUAAGAACCUUUAUCUUUUUCCUUUUCAGUUCUGGCUCGCUAGGAGCAGCUGCAGCUUCUUCUUUUGCAGAGAUUGUGUUUUUUCUCUUCUGCCUUCGAAUGGGAUAGCAAUAAUCAGGAUAGAAGAACCCGAUUGCAUCAAACACUCGGUUCAGUCUCUUCUUUUUUCGGCCUCCGAAGGCUGCUGAUAGUGCAGUAUUUUCAGCCUUCGAGAAUGCCCCAAGCAAUUCAUCACUUAAUGUUUCAAUGCUUUUCAGCCAGUCAUCAUCAGGUUCAAUAAAUUUAUCUGUAUAUUUGAAUGUGUAUUUUAAUCUGACUAGUCCACCUUCGUCGGACUCUUUGAUGGUUUCUUUCGGCAUUUCCCACUUUUCUGCAAGUGGCCAUACCCUGAAGGCAAUGUGCUCCUGGACCAAGUCCCUUGACCCAAUGAAGGAGCAGACUGCGCCGAAGGCUCUUUGGCAUUCUUCGGCUGCCUCAUCCAUUUCAACCUUCGGCCUUCGAAGCCCGAAGCGUUGCCAAAUUGGGUACAUAAUGAUACUUUUGACAUUAUUUUGCGCUGUUAGAUCAUUUUUCACAUAAAACCAUUCAGACAUCCAGGCUCCGGGCCACCUCUUCCGAAAGGUUGGCACAGGGUAGCUUGACCCGGAGCGGGCGCCGAAGCUGUAGCACCCAAAGUUGUUGUGGUAUUGCUCCUUUCCCCAGGGCUUCGUCUCGUACAAUAACUCGUGUAUGUUGCAGAAGCUUUUAGCGUUUGGCUCCAAACCUUGGCUUCUCACAGCCCAGACAAAAAUCCCCAUUCUUAUAAUAGCUUCGGGAGUGAGUUGAUGAAGGUAGAUUUGGAACGUUUUCAGUACCUCAACAACAAAAUUGCUCAGGGGGAAUCGAAGCCCAGCCUUGAGGAGGCUUCGGAAAAUCACAACUUCAUCUUCUUCAGGGGUGGGAGAAGUCUUUUCCCCAGCAUCAGCUCUCACAAUAGAUAUAUCUCGGAAGUAUCGCCCCCUCAUAUUAUCAAUGUGACUCUGCUUGAUGGUUGUUUUCCCAAAAACUGAGUGACUUGGUCGCCACGGUCGAUCUUCGGCCUCUUCCCCAUCACUUUCCACAUCAUAGCUGUCGCUGUCAUCAGUAUCUUCGGACAAACCUUCGAGAAUCUCCUUCGUGAUUUUCUCUGUAUUAGUCUCUGCCAUCGCUAUCAGGAACCCCAGAUUCUUCUCCUCCUCGAGACUCAGCUUCGUCUCAGCAGGGAUCUUCUUGUCUUCAGACAUCUUCGGAAACACUAAAAAUUUGUUCUCGAGGCCGAAGCUUCGAAAUCAAAAAGACCAGCAAAUCUCAAUGAGCAAGAGCUAAAAAUUUUUAGUGGGCCGAAGCAAAAGGCAAGCGUGUGUACCAAAUGAAUUCACGAUGUGUUCUUAUUUAUACGCCUAGGGCGUUGAAAGUUAAAAGGCCCCGCUUGUCAGUGAAUGUUGCUAUUCUAGCAAAGGGAAGGUGUUUUUUCGGACCUUCGGCUCAAGGCCUUCGUCCAUAUCGCAAUCUGAAUUUAUUAUUUACAAAUUAAUAUUGCGAGGGGCUACUGUUGGGGGCCUUCGUCCUCCGAAGGUCCUCAAAAACAUGAUUUGACAAUGUUUUCCAAGUGAAUUAUAUGAACAGGUAUUUUCGGAUUCAGAAUUAUGGAUAUGGAGCACGACCAGGACGAAGGCUGAGCCAGACGAAGGUCGGGGGCAGCCGAAGCUGUACGCAGGGAAGCUUCGGCGCGAUGGCACAAGGGGGAACCGACCUUAAGAUGAAAAGACUUCGGGGUCCUCAAUAGAUUUCCAUAAACCGUUAACAAAUGUAAUGGACAUGGAUGUAAUUUUACGUGGGCUGCGUCCCGCGUCUAUAAAUAGAUGAACAGUACUCCCGUACUGUUCACGCUGACCUUACAUUUGCUUUUGCGUCACGCCUGUACUUUUUACCUUCUCUCAGGACCGAAGGUACAUUUGUAAUUUAAAAUCAUUUCUAUUUUCCCAUAUUAAUAAAAU